UCCCUGGUGGUUUAGUGGUUAGGACUCUGCCUUCCAAAGCAGGGACUCGGGUUCAAUUGCUGGUCGGGGAA
rnacentral:tRNA from 1 species